GAUGAAGAACGUAGCGAAAUGCGAUACGUAAUGUGAAUUGCAGAAUUCAGUGAAUCAUCGAAUCUUUGAACGCAUAUUGCGCUCUCUGGUAUUCCGGAGAGCAUGCUUGUUUGAGUAUCAGUAAACACCUCAACUCCCCUUUCUUUUUUGAAAUGGGAGCUGGACUUGAGUGAUCCCAACGCUUUUCUCACCGAAAAGUGGCGGGUUACUUGAAAUGCAGGUGCAGCUGGACUUUUCUCUGAGCUAAAAGCAUAUCUAUUUAGUCUGCCUAAAAACAGAUUAUUACCUUUGCUGCAGCUAACAUAAAGGAGAUUAGUUCUUGUGCUGACUGAUGCAGGAUUCACAGAGACAGCUUCGGCUGGCCUUUGUAAACUCGAUCUCAAAUCAAGUAAGACUACCCGCUGAACUUAAGCAUAUCAAUAAGCGGAGG
rnacentral:misc_RNA from 1 species